rnacentral:lncRNA from 1 species
UGUGAUGAAGACAAGAAUCACUUGUAUGACCGGUUAACAUUUCUUCAGCAGGAGCACUUGCAAUAAGUAAGAAGUUCUGCGUCUUAUUGUUGGAAAAAUAAAAGUAACAUUUAAUGCUUUUUGCCCCAUGAGUCUGAUGAGAUAGUAUUUUCUAAGCAAUGAAAAAACAUGUCAAGAUAAAAUUAACAUAUUUUCUAAGCAAUGAAAAAACAUGUCAAGAUAAAAUUAACAUUUAAUGCUUUUUGACCCAUGAGUCUGAUGAGAUAUUAUUUUCUAAGCAAUGAAAAAACAUGUCAAGGUCUGUCAUUCUACCUCCAAUCCUGCUUCCUUCAGCAGUCAUGGCUUAAAGAUCUACAAUAUCAACAAGAUUGUGCCAAAAAAACAUAUAGUCAGUCACCAAAUGUACUUUAAAACAUGAACAUUCAGAUGAAAGAAUUAACAGCUAACGAUAAAUAUGUUAAUAUAAAAUAGUAAGCAGUUCUUAAAAUUUUGUUGGAAAAUUUACAAUUAAUAUCAACAAGACUUACUGGUAAAGAUGAGUAAGAUUGAACAAAGAACAUAAUAAAUUACAAAAAGUUUUCUCAAUGAAUACCAAAAGAGUUCGUAAAAGUGAACAUAUGAAGGUACUAAUUUCAGUCCAUAAAGAAUAAGCAACCUAAGAUUUCAAUGCAAAGUUAUAAAGCAUGUUAUUUUGGGUUGAAAUAAAAUGAUAGCGCAACUUUCUGUAGCAACACGGUUAGUGUGACAGUACUUUGUAGUACUAACAUAGGGAAGCAUUUCAGUCUGUAAGACUAUCUGACUCAAUGAACGUGCAGAACAACACAAAGAGAAGGAAAGGAACUUUUCUCCACCUAAAAGUUCAUUAACCUGCAUCUGCAUAUGUAACACAACUAUCACACUGGAAACAUAUAUAUAUCUAAUGGAAUAUAUCAUUAAGAGAAGAAUAGAAGUAGUACGUAGGUCCAGUAUAGUCCUGAACCCAUCUAGAAAUGGAAAGAAAGGUCAUUAAUAACAAGAUGAGAAAAGAAAUCUAGUUACAAGAUAAUUUUGCACGAUGAUUGUAUUAAUGCUGUAUAUUGUGUUAGAAACAAUAUUUGCCUGAACAAGCUAAUUCUUAAGAUCGCCCUUUAAUGUAAGGGGAACACGAAUCGCCUGAAAAUAAGUUACUUACAGAAAGAACAUCACAGAACAUGUAUGGCUAAAAUAUGAUUUUCUUUGUUUUCCUCUUGAAGAUAACCACUCUUCUGAUAGAAAUAGGAGAACAGAGAGUUGAAAUUGAAGAGCUUUAGUAUACGUUGCAGCUGGAAAUGACUAUGGAAACCUUAGCAAAUAGUAACUUACCAUCAGGAACAAUAAAGCUUCAAAUUUUAUGGAUUGCAUGAAUGAGCCUGUGAUUCCGUCUAUAUCAAGAACAAGUAUAUGCUAGCUGACAAUGGCAAUCCCAAUUUAUAGUUAUUUGUAGACCCUUUUCAUUUAAGUAACUAUAUUUAACUUUUAAACAUGGUUGAUUUAUAAGUUAUAUUACAGUUUGACUUAAAAGAGUAAAGAUUCAUCUGUAAAAGCUCAUAUAAAUAGGUUGAUUAAAUGAGCCUUUGACAAAGUCUGCAUCAGUUUGAGGGGAUCCAUCAAUAAGAAACAGAAAUUUCUUCUUAACGCUUUAACUAUAUGACAAGGGUAUCACUGUUUUUAUUUGGAUUUACUUUUGAAUAAUGGAGCUUAAAACUUUGUUUGGAAAAUUAUAGUAGCUAAUACCAACAAGAGUUACUGGUAAAGAAUUUUAACUCACAAAAAUUUUAACUCACCCUAUCAGUUGUCUCUAUUCCCAUUAAUUUACAGCAGUAGUCUUUGUUGUUUCGCUGAUAUAUUCAAAAAUUGAUGAUUGUGGUUGGGAUGCCGCUGGACAUAGCCCUGAAAUCUCCUUUUAAUGAAUUCUUUGAGUCCUCAAUUAUGGAGAUGGAGCUGCUAUGAAAAACAUAUUAACAAAGAAAAGAUAAGUUGGCUAAAACACCAAUUUCUCUUCAAGCAGUUGAAUUUCACAAAAUCAAGAAGGAUUCAACCAUUAUUUUAAUAGAGCAAAUAUGGAACUGCAAAAUACCAAGCAAAGCCAUCGUCGGUGGCCGUCAAUGGAGACUACAAAAUUACCUAUUUAGAUUUUCU